rnacentral:rRNA from 1 species
AGUGAACGCUGGCGGCAGGCCUAACACAUGCAAGUCGAACGGCAGCACAGUAAAGCUUUGCUCUUUGGGGUGGCGUGUGGGGGAGGGGUGAGAAAUCCGUCGAACUCUACUUUUUCGUGGGGGAAAAAGUAGGGACAGUAACGAAAACACCAUAAACGCCCUACAGCAAAAAGCAGGAGAUUUUCGGAUCUUGCCAGCUGAAGUGAGCCGAUGUCGGAUUAGCUAGUAGGCGGGGUAAAGGCCCACCAAGGCGACGAUCCCUAGCUGGUCUGAGAGGAUGAUCAGCCACACUGGAACUGAGACACGGUCCAGACUCCUACGGGAGGCAGCAGUGGGGAAUAUUGGACAAUGGGCGCAAGCCUGAUCCAGCCAUGCCGCGUGUAUGAAGAAGGCCUUCGGGUUGUAAAGCACUUCUGUUGGGAAAGAAGAGCGUCAAGUUAAUACCCCGCUGUUCUGACGUUACCCGAAGAAGAAGCACCGGCUAACUUCGUG